rnacentral:rRNA from 1 species
UACAGAGGGUGCAAGUGUUAAUCGGAAUUACUGGGCGUAAAGCGCACGUAGGCGGCUUUGUAAGUUAGAGGUGAAAGCCCGGGGCUCAACCCCGGAAUUGCCUUUAAGACUGCAUCGCUAGAAUCAUGGAGAGGUGAGUGGAAUUCCGAGUGUAGAGGUGAAAUUCGUAGAUAUUCGGAAGAACACCAGUGGCGAAGGCGACUCACUGGACAUGUAUUGACGCUGAGGUGCGAAAGCGUGGGGAGCAAACAGG